GUUUUGAUAAAAUUAUUACCCUGUCCCUUAACCUUGGGUUUGUGCCAUCUAUUAAAAAAACAAAAAUAAUGCCAAGCUAGAAUCAAUCUUGGUCUCGUUCUCAAAUGUAAAUUAAGCAAAUUUCAAGGGUUUCAAAUAAUUUUCCCUUCUACGAAAUUUGCUAUGAUAAAAAAGGCCAAAAUAGUUCAAAGUGAAUUUGAUCAGAAGAGAAUCCCCGAGCAAAGCACUCGAUAGACACAGAAGAAGAAGCACAAGGCCAGUAAUGGAUUUCGCAGAGCAAGAGGUUGAUUUAUUUGGGGAAGACUAUGAGGAGGAUCAAGAAGAUAGAGAGAACAAUGGUACCCAUAGAUCAUCUCCCUCUUCCUCUUCUGCAUCAUCGUCAUCUGGUUCAUCGUCAUCUUCGGCGGCUUCGUCUUCAUCCAACAGUAGUGAUGGUGGGGACAGCAGCAGUGCCAGUGGGAGCGCUAGCAGCGGAGGGGAAGAAGAGGAAGAGAACGGUGAAGAAGUAGAGAAUAACAAGUUUGAUAAUUUUGGGGAUUAUAAUGAAGAGCAAGAAGAUAGAGACCUUUUUGCCUCUGAUAAUGAUGAUUAUGUAAAAACCCCUGCCAUUAGCCCUUAUUCUAUUCCUGUGUUACCUGUCACACGCAAUAUCAACAACCAGGGCAGAGGGAAUUUUGGACGUGGCCGUUGGCAAAAUGACAGAGGAGCAGGCCUUCUUCCCCGACCUGGAUUUCCUCCACGGCAGGGCUAUGGCUAUGGUUCAAAAUUUUCAAAUGGUCAUCGUGAUGAACGACUUGUUUCUGAACUAAAGUUCUCAAAGAGUGAGGAAACAUUAUCAAGAAAAAUGGUUGCUUUUCAGGCGCCAUGUGAACUUGCUUGCUAUAGUCGUGUAGAAGGUGGAGAUGUCUACUUUGACGAUCGCAGCUUGAGGCUUUUUAGGCGUUAUAUUUCCGAUGAUGUUGGAGCUGAUCUAAAUGAGGGUUUUGAUACUUUCAUUGAGAAAAAAGAUUUGGGCUCUGAAGGAUUUGGUGACCUCCUUGGUUCCAUAAGGGCCAAAAAUAUUAUGCUUCAAAACAUGCAUUUUGUGACUUUCCGUAACAACCUGAAUAAGAUCUUGGCAACUGCUUAUAUUCGACAUGAGCCUUGGGAAAUGGGGGUACACAAAAGGAAUGGGGUUGUCUAUCUUGAUGUGCAUAAAUUACCUGAAAGGCCACAAAGUGAGUUAGAUCGUCGAAGAUGUUAUUGGGGAUAUUGUUUUGAGAGCCUGGCCACUGAAGAUCCAAGGAGGGCUGAUGGAGAAGGGAUACAUCAUGUUGAUGCCAAUGUUGAAUACUGUUCUGUGCUUAAAACCAAAUUAGGGGCUCAUCGUAUUCUCAUGGGUGCUGAAAUGGAUUGUUGUGAUUCAACUGAUGAUGGAAAGAGGUUUUACGUGGAGUUAAAGACAAGUCGUGAGCUGGAUUACCAUACUGAGGAAAGAUUUGAGAAAGAGAAACUGCUCAAGUUCUGGAUUCAAUCAUUUUUGGCUGGGGUUCCUUACAUUGUUAUUGGAUUUAGGUAAUUUUAAUUUCUAUAUCUCAUCAUCAGAUUUCUUACUGGUUUUGCUACUUAGUUACAUUUUGAACUUGGCAAAGCCAAUUAUCUCUCUUGCUUUGACUUGGCAAUGACUUGCCUUUGCAAUUAAGGUUGGAUGGAACCAAAAAGGUCAUCAUUAGCUUAUAUUGGAGAAAUGUCAUGAUUGAUGUGAGCAUGUUUUCUUUGGCGAUAUAGCAUUAUGCAAAAUAUGCAGCUUCUCAGCCUCUCUUCCCCGCUUCCAAAACACAAACAAAUGUAAUAUGCAGAGUGAUGCUGCUAAAUUAUUCUUCUGUAAAAUUAUCUUUCUUUUCUUCAGGGAUGAUGCUGGUCGCCUUGUCCGCACGGAGAGACUGACAACUAAGGACAUAACAAACAGAGUAAAAGCAAAGAAUUAUUGGCAGGGAGGUGUCUGCCUAGCAUUUGCUGAUGAGGUAUUAUGCUGGCUUUAUGGAACAGUCAAGGAAAAUGAAGAUUACAUUUUGCAGUUUGCUCCACCUUUCACGCGUUUAGAGCUUCUGCAAGCCCAAUCUUGCCCAGAUGCAAUUACUAACCAUGUUAUGCAAUUGUAAAGCAUUUUGGGAAAUGUUGCUUAAAUAAUUAGAACACAGAUUUAAAAAGGGGUUAAGUUUUUUUUCCAUUGAAUAUUAUAGUUUCUCUAACAUGGUCUGAAGCAGAUCACUGCUGUGUCAGUAUACCAUGAAUUGGUUUUCGCGGAAUGCCAUAGGUUCCUUUAUUUUUCUUUUUUCUUUUUU
rnacentral:misc_RNA from 1 species